AAGUAAAUCCAUAAUAAAUCCUAAAAGAGUCCAUAAGAAGUCCUAAAAAUUAUUAGAAUAAUUACAAAUAUAUUUUAAAUAAAUCUCAAUUGAAUUAUAAUUUAAUCCUAGUAGAAAUUCUAAUAUACUUUAAUCAAAUUCUAAAAAAAUCUAAACCCUAAACCUUGAAUCAAAUUCUAAAUCAAAUCCUAGUCAACCUUAAAUCCUAAAUCAAAUCUUAGAUCAAAUCCUAGAUCCUAAACCAAAUCCUAAAUCAAAUCUUAGCCAACCCUAAAUCCUAAAUCAAAUCCUAAAACAAACCUUAGAUCCUAAAUCAAAUCUUAUUUCAAAUCCUAUAAAAAUCCUAAAUCCUAAAUCAAAUUCUAGAUCAAAUUCUAGAUUCUAAAUCAAAUCUUAAACCAAACCGUAAACCAAACACUAAUCCUAAUCAAUCUAAUCCUAGUAUAAUUUAGAAUUUCAAUAUCUAUCAAUUGAAUUAUUGAUCUUACUUAAAAAUUUAUAAACCUUUUGAAAAUAGAGUUGGAAAUAAGCAUACAAAAUUUGAAGAUAAUUUUACUUACUAAAUAGAAGAAAAAUCCUAAAAUUCACUUGGGUGUUGUCCAGCCUCCUAC
rnacentral:lncRNA from 1 species